rnacentral:rRNA from 1 species
AGAGUUUGAUCAUGGCUCAGAUUGAACGCUGGCGGCAGGCCUAACACAUGCAAGUCGAGCGGAAACGAGAAUAGCUUGCUAUUCGGCGUCGAGCGGCGGACGGGUGAGUAAUGCCUGGGAAAUUGCCCUGAUGUGGGGGAUAACCAUUGGAAACGAAGGCUAAUACCGCAUAAUAGCUUCGGCUUAAAGAGGGGGACCUUCGGGCCUCUCGCUUCAGGAUAUGCCCAGGUGGGAUUAGCUAGUUGGUGAGGUAAAGGCUCACCAAGGCGACGAUCCCUAGCUGGUCUGAGAGGAUGAUCAGCCACACUGGAACUGAGACACGGUCCAGACUCCUACGGGAGGCAGCAGUGGGGAAUAUUGCACAAUGGGCGCAAGCCUGAUGCAGCCAUGCCGCGUGUAUGAAGAAGGCCUUCGGGUUGUAAAGUACUUUCAGCAGUGAGGAAGGGUGUGUAGUAAAUAGCUGCAUACUUUGACGUUAGCUGCAGAAGAAGCACCGGCUAACUCCGUGCCAGCAGCCGCGGUAAUACGGAGGGUGCGAGCGUUAAUCGGAAUUACUGGGCGUAAAGCGCAUGCAGGUGGUUUGUUAAGUCAGAUGUGAAAGCCCGGGGCUCAACCUCGGAACCGCAUUUGAAACUGGCAGGCUAGAGUACUGUAGAGGGGGGUAGAAUUUCA